GAGCAUGCGCCGCCGUGGCCGAGUGCUUGAGGGGGUGUGUUUCCGGCUUUUGGAAGUGGUGGGCGGAUUCGGCGGGUGCGGGGUCACCCACCAGAUGUGUAACCUGCUGUCUGCUGAAGCGAACCUCUGAGUUUAAAUGAGACGUGGUGAAAAAAGGUCCCCAGGGAGCAGAUCUGAAAGCCGGCUCCUCCAGAACAUAGACUGCCAGGGGGCGAGAUGACUUUAGACACUGUCCCCAGCAGAUUGAUAGAUGAAGCAUAAAACAAGACCAGAUGCUGUGGUUUCCAGGAUGCACUUGGCUUCCCAUCCCUUAUAACCUGGAGCAUUUUUGCUAGUUCAACUGGGCCUGUCUUCAUAGAAGACAUUUUUCAGGAAGCUAUUCUAGUCCAUGGAGGAGGUGACAUCUCCUGAACCUGGUCCCCACAGAGAAUUUUGAAUGGGAGGAAAAGGAGAUGGUAUGUAUUCUUGCUUAUGUCAUAAUGUUGGACACAUGACUUAAGAAUGUGGCAGGUCAAUGUGACUGGAUCAUUUCAUUACUGCACUUCAGAGUGACUCAGAGGCAAAUGCAGCUUGUUUAAACUCUUAACUGAAGCAUUGGUAUGAUGUAAGAUUAUAGCAAUAAAAGAUAUAAAAUGACUACUUAUUGGGGACAUCCUGAAGGACCGGGGGAAUCCUUAUUUUCUUAUCAUCUCUCAUCUUGCAGUUGUUGAUAGUAAUUCAUCAUUCAUUUGGCAUCAUUCAUUAUAAAGUUUACCAUAUCUCAAAUAACAGGGAAGGCAUCAGAGGUAGCAAUAAGGAGAAUACAACCAAAUAACAUAUAGGAUCUAAACUCAAUAAAAACAGCUAAUAGUGAUCACUUAUAUAGUGUUUACUAUGUGCCAGACUUGUUCUAGGUAAUAUAUGUUUAUAUCCUCACCUAAUUCUCAUAACAACCCUGUGAAGUAGGU